rnacentral:rRNA from 1 species
GUGGGGAAUCUUGCGCAAUGGGCGAAAGCCUGACGCAGCCAUGCCGCGUGAAUGAUGAAGGUCUUAGGAUUGUAAAAUUCUUUCACCGGGGACGAUAAUGACGGUACCCGGAGAAGAAGCCCCGGCUAACUUCGUGCCAGCAGCCGCGGUAAUACGAAGGGGGCUAGCGUUGCUCGGAAUUACUGGGCGUAAAGGGCGCGUAGGCGGACAGUUUAGUCAGAGGUGAAAGCCCAGGGCUCAACCUUGGAAUUGCCUUUGAUACUGGCUGUCUUGAGUACGGGAGAGGUGAGUGGAACUCCGAGUGUAGAGGUGAAAUUCGUAGAUAUUCGGAAGAACACCAGUGGCGAAGGCGACUCACUGGCCCGUUACUGACGCUGAGGCGCGAAAGCGCGGGUAGCAAACAGGAUUAGAAACCCGGGUAGUCC